rnacentral:lncRNA from 1 species
GCCUCCAUAGAACAAAUUUAAAACACAACUGGCAUGGUAAUGUACGGAGAGCUUCAGUGGCACCUUACCACCCACCCUCCGAGACCUGUCCUAAGAUUUAAGACAGUCUCAGAAAGCUGCACUGCCCCCAGCACAGCUUUCAUUCAAAUCAGCUUUUCCAAGGCCACUUUCGUCCUGAAGUCAAUGCAUGUAUUUACUGUUUGACAGUAAACCCGCUCUGCCUUCUCCACGUCCAAGGCUGUGCAUUCGUCUAAUUAGUGUCGUGUAUGUUUUCCUUUUAUUUUUUCCAAUAAAAAAGCAGUGGGAUGAAAAUUGCUUUGAUAUAUAGCAGGUAACAUUGAAGCUAUUCCAUAGCACUUAACUGUAGUGAAUACUGUGUCACCAAUCCUGAAAUCAAUUUAAUGUUUAAUGCAAAUCCAUUACAUGGUGCUAUUACAGGCUGACAAAAUGAUUUACACAAAUGUGACAACUUGGGCUCAAUUCACUCUGCUUUCCAACAGUGUAAAUGCAUAGCAGUGUUUAUCUGCAUGAGAACUAUGCACUAACCUAUCUGAAGAAAAAAACUAUAUCAACUUUGGUAUCUACUUUCCGUUUACUUCAAUCCUUGCCUUUUUGGUCAUUGUUAUAAUGCCAGCUUUAGGACAGAAAGAAUUAUAAGAAAACCAGCAUAAUACCUGAUAUAUUAAAAUGUAGUGCCUGUGAAAUCUGUAUUAUAUUGCUCUUCUGAAGUAAGAUUUUUCUACACCGGUAGCCUUCGCUGUCUGUCAGUCAGGACCUUCUGGUAUAGGUGAUGUAAAAUAACCGUACAAUAUUAAUGCAUGCUAUUCCAUAAUGCUUAGUGAACUGUAUGAAUAUUACUCAAGAUUAUGUUAGUCUUUUUUUCUGACUUGGUUCUUGUCAGCUAGGUUUAAAGGUAUUUCACUGAGAACGCAAAUUCUGUCUUUUCUUGAUUUCGGCAGUUUUCAGUAUUUUGGAGGUAUACAUUUACUUAAAUUCAGUAUUACUUGUGUUUUUGUUUUCGUUUUUGUUUUUUGUUUUCUUUUUCCUAGGGGACAAGCAUGGGUGUUUGAUUUCAGAAAUCAGUCCCUGGCAAGACUUUUGUCUCAAAACAACCAUUUGAAUUUCAAGAACUCUGCUCUGAAGACACUGAGGAUAUUUCAAAAUGAGGGACAUUUCCCUUCACCCUCGACUGAAGCUUUGCCGAUACUGAAGCGUGAAACUGUGUGAAUAAUCGAUAUUUAUAAAAUCACUAGAAUUAAAUACUACUUAGAAAAUCUUUGUGAUCUUGAAUUUUUCAAGAGUUCUUAGCUACAACAGCAAAAGAAUAAUCUAUUUAAAAUAAUAUAUUAGNNNNNNNNNNNNNNNNNNNNNNNNNNNNNNNNNNNNNNNNNNNNNNNNNNNNNNNNNNNNNNNNNNNNNNNNNNNNNNNNNNNNNNNNNNNNNNNNNNNUAGCUACAACAGCAAAAGAAUAAUCUAUUUAAAAUAAUAUAUUAGUAUUCAUUAAAAUUAAAAUAUUUUGCUUGUCAAAAUAUAUUGUUAAGAGAAAGAUAACAAAGCCAGAGAUGGGGGAAAUAUUUCCAAAGCUUAUGGCCCAACAAAGAACUUGUGUCCAGUAUAUACAGAGAACUUUCAAAUGGUAAUAAAACAAACAAUCCAACUGAAAAUAGGCAAAAGAUUUGAAUAAGCACAUUAUCAACAAAAAACAGCAAUUUUACUGUAUGCAAAUAAAAAUACAAUCUUUUAAAUGUAGGAGACUUAGCUAAACCAUAUUUAUAUAACAUUUUGUACCCUGGAUAUAAAUCUUAGCAGAUAAAAAGGCUGAAAUCAAUACACUAAAGAUCUAACUCAAGAAUUUUUUGCUUUUUAUUUAAUUUAGUUAAUUAAUUUAUUUGGCUGUGCCACAUGGCAUGCAGGAUCAUGGGUCCCCUGACAAGAAUCUAAACUGUGCCCCGUGCGGUAGAGACAGGGUGUCUUAACCACUGGACCACCACCGAAGUCCCAAGAACGUUUUCUUUUUUUUAAUCGCUAAAUUAUACCCAAAGAAAGUAGAUAGGAGGGAAAGAUAAAUGGAAUAAAAUAACAAAAGACAAAGCAAGCAUGCAAUAGACGUCAACAAAUUCGUAAAACAAAGAGUAACAGUGAAUAUUCUGAGGAAAAUGACAGGUGAAAGAGGGGUUUAAAUACACAAAUAAGCUAUGCCAAGAAUGAAAAUGGGACAUAACUAUAGAUAAGGUGGUCAUUAAAAAUAAUAUAGUAAGACAAGUAGAAGCACAAGCUGGAAUCCAGAUUGCUGGGAGAAAUAUGAAUAACCUCAGAUAUGCAGAAGACACCACCGUUAUGGCAGAAAGUGAAGA